CCUAGAGUUGUAGGCUUUGCCUGCUAUCUCUUACCCAUGUCUUUUGAGUACCUUACGUUUCCUCGGUGGGUCCGCCCACCGAUUGGACAAAUUUAAACCCUUUGCAGUUGAAAUCAGCGUCUGAAAAAACUUAAUAGUUA
rnacentral:misc_RNA from 1 species